AGUCCAGGAGGUUGAGGCUGCAGUGAGCCCUGAUUGCACCACUGCACUCCAGCCUGGGUAAGGGUGGGACCUGGUCUCAAAAAUAUUUAUUUUUUUUCAUAUGCUUUGAUGAUACUAGUGACUUCAGGACAUGUGUUUGGCCUGUCUCUGCCAUGGUUCUGCUGGAUUUGUGGAGGUUCCUGUGCAGAUGUGCUACAUGGUAAAAUGUGUGUUGCGGGGGUCUGGUGUGCAGAUUCUUUGGUCGCCCAGGUAAUAAGCGCGGUGCAGAGAAUGAGGAUCAGAAACGUUGAAGAACUUGCCCAGAGAUCCAACCAGUGAGUAGCCAGCUUCAGACUGAUAUGACCGUCAUUGUCCCUGACCGUGACCCGUCCGUCACAUGGCCAGCUCCAGAUGGAUUGGAAGGUCUGCAGGAAUGAGCUUUGGCCUAGUGCCAAGAUCAUCCAACCAGCCCUUCUCCUGCCUCCUCUUCUCCCAUUUCCUAUUUGGAAGGACAUAGACCCCAGGUGUCCCACUGCAGAGUCCCCGUGUAUGAAGGUCAACCCAGUGUGAGCUCCAGUUGAAUCCAGGCCGGGACUGGCAGACCUCUGGCAGCCCAGAAGAAAGCAGAUGUCACUGCGUGAAGUCUGAUGGGCAGCGUCUGGCCCUCAGGAGCCUGGGGCAGAGCAGGAACUGAAACUCCUGAGAGCACCAGCACAGGGGUUCGUCACAGCUGGAGAAGGUCCCACUCCGCUCUCUGUGUGAUAAUGCAAAUAUUGCUCAUGUACUACUGAGGACUGAAAUAGGGCUUAUUUCUGAUUCACUUAGAUGUCAAAAGCCACUUGUUUAGGGGCUACCCUAACUGGAUAGUGUAGCUCUAAACCACUCUAGAAUGAAAACUUCGCCCAGGAAAGGCCCCAGGGAACUACUUUUUGCAUAGGAGAGGGUAAACAGACCCAAGAACCUGAAAGUAACUCAAACUCCAGUAGACUCCAGUUGGAAAUCCAAGUGGUAAUGACUGCCCCACAAGGCGGUUCAGUGAUAUCUUUCUCCACAGCUUCCUCCUGGAAAACUCCUACUCACUCGGCAAGAUUCAACUCAAGAGCAUGACACGUCCUGAUCCUAGCCUGGGCAGUCAGUCUCAGUUUCUCCUGCUGCGCACCUGCUGCCACCUCCAUGUGAGCACUCAAGUGGUCAAUGCAGGGCCUCACCUGUACUGACCUUCAUCUGUGUACUCAGCUAGUUUUCGCUUCUAUCCAAGAAUUCACAGAACUUUCUGCCAUGACUGUCCUGCCCUCCCUGACUUCCUUGUGAACUCCUCGAGGUCAACUACUCCGUCUUAUUUAUUUUUACACACUCAGCACCUGCCACUUAGAAGAUGGCCAGAAAAGGGUUUAAUGAAUGCUUGUGUCUUAUAAUCAAGUCAGAAACUUCCUUCUCUGGGACACUUCGGUGCAGCCACUUCCUCUAGUCUAAGAAUUGUGAUUACAGGGACAAGAGAUGCAUUUCGUCUUUCUCUGAAGUGCCACCAGGUCUAAAUAUUAUUUGGGUACAUUUGUACAAUGUCCUGAGUCUGGAAAAUGUGUGUUUAAAAAUCAAAUGAAAGACAGCCAAAUAAAGUUUGUAUGACUUCCUUUCAUCCUCAACAGCAACCCUACAUAGACAUACUGUUAUUAUCCUCAAAUAAUGGAUGAGAAAACUUGCAUACCCUGCCUAAGGUCAUUCGGAUAGAUCAGGAGAAGCACUGGGAUUAGACCCAGGUUGGCUGACCUCAGGGCACAUGCUGUCACCACACUCUCAGACAGAACACCUGCCUUGCACUGGCGUACCACACUGUUCAGUGUGCUUCCACUGCAUUUUAGAGUUGUUUCCUCUAAAAAGCAGAGCUGAUGUUAUCAUCAUCUCUAUUUUAUAGAUGAGGAAAUUAACACAGAAAAGGCAAGUAACCCAAGCUUGCAGGAUUAGCAAAUGACACUUGCAGGGUUUUUGUCUCCUAUUCUAGGGUUUUGCUUUUUAACCCACCAGGCUCAUGGAAUGUUCAUGGAAUGAACUGAA